CCGGUUUCCCGCUGCCGCGCCGAAGCCUGAGGGCGGCCCAGCGGGUCCCGCCCAGGCCCCCCCAGGAAGAGCUCCGCAGCACCGGUAUCCCGCCGCGUCAGGCCCCACCCGCCCCCGGCUCCUGCCAGCCGCCCUCCGCCCGCACCGCGCACCCCGGCCCGGCCGCAGGGGUAGUGCGCUCUGGGUCUGGUUCUGCCCCCGGUCCGGGCGGAGAGACCGAGACUACAAGCUCUGCCCUCCCCGCCCGCCACUGCCGUCUUCAGCACCAGGCAGGGGCCCCAGCACCAGGCAGCACACCGCAGCCUCGGGCAGGUACCCGGUCCCACAGCUGCUGGGCUGCGCAGUCCUCCAGGGCAGCAGGAACAGGACACCCGUCCGUGUUGUGUCCCCCCCCCCGGCAGGUCCUAGCUCCUCCUAGGAAGCUCUAGUGGGCAUCAGGCAUCACCACAGCAAGUGCCCCGUUCUGCAGCAAGCUGCACAAAAUCUUGUUCCGGGACAGUGCGGUACGGGCGCUUGUUUCCAGCACAGGUCCUUUCCCAGGCUUGGCGCUAAUGCCAUAACCCCCAAAACCUCUGCAGCUGAGACACACAAACCACUCAGCCAAGGAAGAGCACCUGGCCCAGACCAAAUUACCCAGAACAGGGCUAUAAACCCAACCCCCAGGUGUUGGCAUCUGGCUCCUACCACAGACUUUUGCAUCAGGUGUCUGCAGGAGGGGGUGGCCAGAAGGCAAAGGUGAGAGAAACUGCAUCAAUUCCAAACCUGCUGCCAGUCAGACCCACCACCUCCCACCCAGCUGAGGAGAACACGCAUGGUGCUGCAAUGCGGCAUGGGGGACCUUUGCAGGAUGACAGGCAAGCUCAGGCUGCAGCUUGGUCUCCUGCCUCUUAGCUGACUGGGUGGCCAUAAUUACAGGCAUUGUAACAGGACCUGCCUUUUGCAUUUCAAGAGUAAUCAUCAAGGGAACCGUAGCUGCAUGUUAUUUCUGUGCCCGCGCUCUCCUGUGAGGUUCUGAUCACAGACUGGCCGCAGUCUCCUUGGCCAAGGCCCGUCAUAGCGAGCUGUUAGUAAAAACAGGAAAUGGAGGAAUUCAGAAACCAAAACAGCAUCGUGACACUAAAGAGCCAAGCACUGUGACACUAAGGAGGUGUGGGGAAGCCUUGCUGAGCCUCACCUUUGCCAAAACACUCUCAGCAGUGCCGUGCCAGAGCCUGUCCUCAACCCAGCUGCCUGCAGGACAACACACAACUGGCUCCACCCACAGAAAAAAUAUGGACAACAGGCCAGGCUGUCCACUGGACCCUUCCCAGCAGGCACGACAUUCCCCAUUUGCCCAGGCAACAAGAAUGCAACUGUGCUCAGCUCAGCUCCGUCCUCAUCCUCAGGCUGGCAGAGUUCCACACUGCAAAGCACCAUGAGGAGUGGGAGAAAGGUGGUCAGGAAGGGAAGCCACAUGCAUAUGAGCUGGUACACAUGAGCAUGCCUGCCCUGCAGCCUGGAGAGCAGCUCCCCCCAGACAAAACCAGGAUCCCUGGUAAUCAGUACAGGAAAUGCAACUUUCCCAGAAUUCUGUCUCUAAUCUUACAAAAAAGUCCUGAUCAUAAAAGAGCUGUAGUCUUGUCUCUCAAAAGACUGAACAGUACC